AGUCUAGGCGGUUUGGUAAGUGGGAUGUGAAAUGCCCCGGCUCACCCGGGGACCUGCAUCCCAAACUGCUGAGCUUGAGUACAGGAGAGGGUGGGGGAAUUCCAGGUGUAGCGGUGAAAUGCGUAGAUAUCUGGAGGAACACCGGUGGCGAAGGCGCCCACCUGGCCUGCUACUGACGCUGAAGCUCGAAAGCUAGGGAGCAAACG
rnacentral:rRNA from 1 species